UCAUGGGCCUGAAGACUGAUUGGACUCCCUGUUAUGUUUCCUGGGCAGUUUAUUCCUUCAUCAUGGCCCAGCAUCUCCCCCAGCUAGCGGGCAUAGUUUUUUGUUUAAAUUUUAUAGAGAUGUUGUGUGGCAUGUUUAAAAUGAGCAGUAGAACUAGAAGAACUGUUGGGAUAGCUAAUUACUUACGAAAUUGUGACUUGUGAGAUACAGCUUUGGUUAUAGUAUGAAUUACAUAUUAAAU
rnacentral:lncRNA from 1 species